UGGGGAAUAUUGCGCAAUGGGCGAAAGCCUGACGCAGCGACGCCGCGUGGGGGAUGAAUGCCUUCGGGUUGUAAACCCCUUUCAGCAGGGACGAAGCUUUCGGGUGACGGUACCUGCAGAAGAAGCGCCGGCUAACUACGUGCCAGCAGCCGCGGUAACACGUAGGGCGCAAGCGUUGUCCGGAAUCAUUGGGCGUAAAGAGCUCGUAGGUGGUCUGUUGCGUCCGCUGUGAAAAUCCAGGGCUCAACCCUGGACUUGCAGUGGAUACGGGCAGACUAGAGGUAGGUAGGGGAGAAUGGAAUUCCUGGUGUAGCGGUGAAAUGCGCAGAUAUCAGGAGGAACACCGGUGGCGAAGGCGGUUCUCUGGGCCUUACCUGACACUGAGGAGCGAAAGCGUGGGGAGCGAACAGGAUUAGAUACCCCUGUAGUCC
rnacentral:rRNA from 1 species